rnacentral:rRNA from 1 species
UACGUAGGGGGCAAGCGUUAUCCGGAUUUACUGGGUGUAAAGGGAGCGUAGACGGUUAUGUAAGUCUGAUGUGAAAACCCGGGGCUCAACCCCGGGACUGCAUUGGAAACUAUGUAACUAGAGUGUCGGAGAGGUAAGUGGAACUCCUAGUGUAGCGGUGAAAUGCGUAGAUAUUAGGAGGAACACCAGUUGCGAAGGCGGCUCUCUGGACUGCAACUGACACUGAUGCUCGAAAGUGUGGGUAUCAA